CCUACGGGUGGCAGCAGUGGGGGAUAUUGCACAAUGGGGGAAACCCUGAUGCAGCGACGCCGCGUGGGUGAAGAAGCGCCUCGGCGCGUAAAGCCCUGUCAGCAGGGAAGAAAAUGACGGUAACUGAAGAAGAAGCCCCGGCUAACUACGUGCCAGCAGCCGCGGUAAUACGUAGGGGGCAAGCGUUAUCCGGAUUUACUGGGGGUAAAGGUGGCGCAGACGGCGAUGCAAGCCAGGAGUGAAAGCCCGGGGCCCAACCCCGGGACUGGUCUUGGAACUGCGGGGCUAGAGUGCAGGAGGGGCAGGCGGAAUGCCUGGUGUAGCGGUGAAAUGCGUAGAGAUCAGGAGGAACACCGGUGGCGAAGGCGGCCUGCUGGACUGCAACUGACGUUGAGGCCCGAAAGCGUGGGGAGCAAACAGGAGUAGAUACCCUUGUAGUC
rnacentral:rRNA from 1 species